rnacentral:rRNA from 1 species
GUAGGUGGCAAGCGUUGUCCGGAAUUAUUGGGCGUAAAGCGCGCGCAGGCGGUUCUUUAAGUCUGAUGUGAAAGCCCACGGGCUCAACCGUGGAGGGUCAUUGGAAACUGGAGAACUUGAGUACAGAAGAGGAAAGCGGAAUUCCACGUGUAGCGGUGAAAUGCGUAGAGAUGUGGAGGAACACCAGUGGCGAAGGCGGCUUUCUGGUCUGUAACUGACGCUGAGGCGCGAAAGCGUGGGGAGCAAACAGGAUUAGAUACCCUGGUAGUCCACGCCGUAAACGAUGAGUGCUAAGCGUUAGGGGGUUUCCGCCCCUUAGUGCUGCAGCUAACGCAUUAAGCACUCCGCCUGGGGAGUACGGCCGCAAGGCUG